AGGAAAUCAGAAGCAGAGAAGAGUAGCUUCGUCCAAUUCGAUUGGUCGUUGUUUGAUAUCAUUUGUGUCUUCAUCCCUAACUCAACUGUCCCUCUUCUUGCUUCCUUCCUUCUUCCCUUCCUUCUCUCUCCUCUCACUCUCAGGUCCUCUCUCUCUCUCUCUAUAUAUAUAUAUAUGAAUAUGUGGUUGAAGUGGUUGCUUUUUUUGCAGCUGUAGCACUGUGGGGAGUGACAGGUGUUGGGAGAUGCUGCAAGAGACUUGUAGGAGUGGAAGCAUCAGCGCCGGCGUUCGUUUUCUUCGAUAUUAUAUUCAUUUGGGGGGUUUUUAUUGGAAUGUUUCGACAAGGUCCCUCUUUAUUCUCAUCAUUUCACCUUUGCUAGACAUUAUACUCAACGCAGAGUUCUUUAUGCUCGUGAUUGGUCUAUGCAGUAUCCUGACAACAGACCCUGGUUAUGUUACAAAUGAAUCUUCCCAUCAUAACCAACUUGUUGAGAGUCCUGUCUCA